AACGAACGCUGGCGGCGCGCUUAAUACAUGCAAGUCGAACGAGAAGGUGUAGCAAUACACUUGUAAAGUGGCGAACGGGUGAGGAAUACAUGGGUAACCUACCCUCGAGUGGGGAACAACCAGCCGAAAGGUUGGCUAAUACCGCGUACGCUUCCGGGUCUUCGGAUUCGGAAGGAAAGUCAUACCGUGGGUAUGACGCUCAAGGAUGGGCUCAUGUCCUAUCAGCUUGUUGGUAGGGUAACGGCCUACCAAGGCUCCGACGGGUAGCUGGUCUGAGAGGACGAUCAGCCACACUGGCACUGCGACACGGGCCAGACUCCUACGGGAGGCAGCAGUAAGGAAUAUUGCGCAAUGGGCGAAAGCCUGACGCAGCGACGCCGCGUGGGGGAUGAAGGUCUUCGGAUUGU
rnacentral:rRNA from 1 species